GGCACGAUAGGGCUGCGUGUGCAUCAACCAACUAGACUGCCGACUCCUCCUUCCGCCCCUACACCACACAGGGCACACCCCUCACGAUCUAGGCCAAGGGAAAAACCUAGGUGCGCCGCCACCGUGGUCGCCGCCGGAGAGAUAUAGAGAGAACCGAUUUGCCUGAGAAGUGACUCAGUUCCCAUGCUUGUCCCCUUCACUUCCUCUAUCUCUCACUCACAUACGAUGUCGACAAGGACGAGACGGAGAUAUUGGGUGCGAGGGGAGCUCCAGAAAACGAUGGAGGUGUGCCCGUCCCGUCCCGUGGUCGACAGGGCAUGGCACUCCUGUCACGCGAAAAGGGAUUCAAAUUUGGAGUCCGGCUAUGGUGAGGGCCGUAGUGCAUGAGGGAGAAGUUGGGGCUAUGGAUUCACGAGAAACUCACCCAAACGCCUUCUUCAGUAGCUGCCUGGGCGGUCGGCACCGGCUCGACCUGCAACGAACUCCGGGUGCUCCUCGACGUCAUGGGCGCACCCCUUUUGCGCUUGCGCAUGUACAUGUCGCUGAGCCGCCCCUGCAUCUCAGCAUCAAGGACACUCAAAUGUCUCCAAUCACUGGUUGCAAAAAUGGUUCCUCCUUACAGGAUUAAGGAGCUCAUGGCAGAGGACCACAGUGAGGCUACAUCGUGGCUAUGGCUUCCAUCUCGGAGAUUGGAGUACUUUAGCAGGGACUGAAAUUGAUAUUGUAAUUCUUCAAAUUAUGUAUAUAACUGUAGCUGCCUGGGCGGUCGGCGCCGGCUCGACCUGCAACGAACUCCGGGUGCUCCUCGACGUCAUGGGCGCACCCCUUUUGCGCUUGUGCAUGUACAUGUCGCUGAGCCGCCCCUGCAUCUCAACAUCAAGGACACUCAAAUGUCUCCAAUCGAUUAAGGAGCUCAUGGCGGAGGACCACAGUGAGGCUACAUCGUGGCUAUGGCUUCCAUCUCGGAGAUUGGAGUACUUUAGCAGGGACUGAAAUUGAUAUUGUAAUUCUUCAAAUUAUGUAUAUAACUAGUAAGAAGGAAAUCAAAUCGCCAAAGGAUCAUAUUAUUUACGGUACCAUUACAGUCAUCUGAAUAUCGCAUUUGUUGAAUCCUAAGCUAUUCCAAGCCAUCUUGAUUAGUGACAUGUUCCUUUUUUAAGGUUAUGUCAUGGCCAGUUCGUUAUCAAGCAAAUCCAAAUGAUUUUACUUCCUGCAGUGUUGGAUAUAUAGCAAUGACUGCAUGGGUUUUCUGCUGGUACUACAAAGCUUUCAUGAAGGUCAAUGCUCAUGGAGGGAUGGUGAGAGAGGAAUUCGGUGGGGGGCAUUGGUCUCUGGGAUAAUGGGGGAUAAAGAGAGUAAUGUGGCUGUUCUUCUUAAGUUGCUUACAAGUUUGUAGUAAUUAUGGUGUUUCCCAAUCUGAUGUGUAUUUGGCUUGAUGAGUAUGAGGCUAGGAGUUUGGACCAACUGCUAACAUUACGGAGCUUCCUGCCAUGUUUAUGGUGUUGAAUCUAUUGAAUUUUAGACUAUGAUUGCUGAGUAUGAAAAGGAAUUAAAAUUUGAUUUCAGCUGUAAUAACGUGUGGUCCUUUCUUUCUUGCAUCUUUAAUGAUGUAGUUUGGUUUUGUGGUGACAUCUACAAUAUAAGCAGUUUAGCACUGAUAGCAGGGACACUUCAUGGGAUGAAGGAAAUUUUUAUUGGCUUUGAUACCUCUUAAAGUAUGCAUUCUAGAUUUCUGUGUGACUGAUUUGAUGAUA